rnacentral:rRNA from 1 species
AAACGAAAAACCGCGCGGUGCUAACGAAAGGAAAAUUCUUUAUAACUUAGAGGGCUCCCCAAAAAAGUAUUUAACAGAAAGGGUGCGACCAGGGUAUACACAGGGGGACACCCCCCAAAACAGGGGUUACCACUGGAAACAGAUGUUAAUCCCGUAUAACAGAAAAACCCCCUGGUUUUUUUUAAAAGAGGGCUUCGCUACCCUUUCGGAAGGCCCCCGGGCCCAUUACCUAGUUGGUAGGUAACGGCUCACCAAGGCGAUGAUGCGUAGCCGACCUGAGAGGGUAAUCGGCCACAUUGGGACUGAGACACGGCCCAGAUUCCUACGGGAGGCAGCAGUAGGGAAUCUUCCCCAAUGGACGCAAGUCUGAUGGAGCAACGCCGCGUGAGUGAAGAAGGGUUUCGGCUCGUAAAGCUCUGUUGUUAAAGAAGAACGUGGGUGAGAGUAACUGUUCACCCAGUGACGGUAUUUAACCAGAAAGCCACGGCUAACUACGUGCCAGCAGCCGCGGUAAUACGUAGGUGGCAAGCGUUAUCCGGAUUUAUUGGGCGUAAAGCGAGCGCAGGCGGUCUUUUAAGUCUAAUGUGAAAGCCUUCGGCUCAACCGAAGAAGUGCAUUGGAAACUGGGAGACUUGAGUGCAGAAGAGGACAGUGGAACUCCAUGUGUAGCGGUGAAAUGCGUAGAUAUAUGGAAGAACACCAGUGGCGAAGGCGGCUGUCUGGUCUGUAACUGACGCUGAGGCUCGAAAGCAUGGGUAGCGAACAGGAUUAGAUACCCUGGUAGUCCAUGCCGUAAACGAUGAUUACUAAGUGUUGGAGGGUUUCCGCCCUUCAGUGCUGCAGCUAACGCAUUAAGUAAUCCGCCUGGGGAGUACGACCGCAAGGUUGAAACUCAAAAGAAUUGACGGGGGCCCGCACAAGCGGUGGAGCAUGUGGUUUAAUUCGAAGCUACGCGAAGAACCUUACCAGGUCUUGACAUCUUCUGCCAACCUAAGAGAUUAGGCGUUCCCUUCGGGGACAGAAUGACAGGUGGUGCAUGGUUGUCGUCAGCUCGUGUCGUGAGAUGUUGGGUUAAGUCCCGCAACGAGCGCAACCCUUAUUACUAGUUGCCAGCAUUCAGUUGGGCACUCUAGUGAGACUGCCGGUGACAAACCGGAGGAAGGUGGGGACGACGUCAAAUCAUCAUGCCCCUUAUGACCUGGGCUACACACGUGCUACAAUGGAUGGUACAACGAGUCGCGAAACCGCGAGGUUUAGCUAAUCUCUUAAAACCAUUCUCAGUUCGGACUGUAGGCUGCAACUCGCCUACACGAAGUCGGAAUCGCUAGUAAUCGCGGAUCAGCAUGCCGCGGUGAAUACGUUCCCGGGCCUUGUACACACCGCCCGUCACACCAUGAGAGUUUGUAACACCCAAAGCCGGUGGGGUAACCUUUUAGGAGCUAGCCGUCUAAGGGGAG